AGAGUUUGAUCAUGGCUCAGGAUGAACGCUGGCGGCGUGCAUAACACAUUCAAGUCGAACGGGGAUAUAUAACGGAAGUCCUUCGGGACGGAAGAUAUAUAUUCAGUGGCGGACGGGUGAGUAACGCGUGAGCAAUCUGCCUUUGUGAGGGGAAUAACGCCCGGAAACAGGCGCUAAUACCGCAUAAAAUAUACGGUUCGCAUGGACUGUAUAUCAAAGAGAAAUCGCACAAAGAUGAGCUCGCGUCCGAUUAGAUAGUUGGUGAGGUAACGGCCCACCAAGUCGACGAUCGGUAGCCGGACUGAGAGGUUGAACGGCCACAUUGGAACUGAGAAACGGUCCAGACUCCUACGGGGGGCAGCAGUGGGGAAUAUUGGGCAAAUGGGCGAAAGCCUGACCCAGCGACGCCGCGUGAGGGAAGACGGUCUUCGGAUUGUAAACCUUAGUUAUUGGGGAAGAAACAAAUGACGGUACCCAAAGAGAAAGCCACGGCUAACUACGUGCCAGCCGCCGC
rnacentral:rRNA from 1 species